UUGAACACCACAAAACUAGAGAAAAUUCAGGUCUGUAUGUCAUUUAUCGUGCUGAUAUUUCAGAGAAGUGCUGGGUUUUUUCAGUUGCCACAGCUUCCUCGGGUGGCACUGCCAUCUGUCUCCUCUCUUGGGUCUUCCUCAUUGUACCUCGUGCCCACAGCAUGCGCAUGGACGGGUUGAAAAGCUGUUGGGUUGUAGAAGCUGGCGGUCAUUUUGAGAAGGUUCGUGGUGCAGUGUGUGGAAAUUCAGGUGCUAGGAGCUUACUGGUAGAAAAAUCCUGAAGGAAGAGCUCUCUCCAUGAACAUUCUGUCCAGUUUUGGGAACCUCGUGUAUCCGUUUUUCCUCCGUUAAAACACUCCUUCCCCCAAAGAAUUGUUGUAGGAAAAUAAAAUA
rnacentral:lncRNA from 1 species